rnacentral:rRNA from 1 species
UUAAAGCCACCUAGUGGAUGGCUUGGCUACAAUCACGAUGAAGGGCGUGGCAAGCUGCGAUAAGCCUAGGGUAGCUGCAGGUCGAGCUUUGAACCUAGGAUUCCCGAAUGGUGCAUAGCAAUAUGCAUGUAUACGCGGGGAACUGAAAUAUCUUAGUACCCGCAGGAGAAGAAAUCGAAUGAGAUAUGGUUAGUAACGCGAGUGAAAGCCAUACAGAGCAAACCGAAUCCCUCCUGGCAACAGGUUGGGAGAUGUGGUGUAGCGUUUCAUUUAGCAUAUGAGCCGAAGGUGUUGGAAAGCACCGCCAUAGAGAGUGACAGCCUCGUAGGUUAAAUAUGCUAGAGAUUGCUACAAUAGAGUAGUACUGCCUUAAUACGCAGUACGAAGAUGGGGGCACUAUACUCCAACUCUAAAUAUUGAUUGUAGACCGAUAGCGAACAAGUAGCGUGAGCGAAAGCUGAAAAGUACGCACGCGUGUGCGAGCGAAAAGAUCUGAAAUUAGGUGGUUAAACGCAGGUAAGGCGGGAAAGGAAUGAAGUAUGCAGAAGCGGGAUUUCGAGAGGAAUUAGCGAUGCAUAUGGAACACCGUCUUAUCAUUCUUCUUGAAGCAAGAGCCAAGGAGUGUAUAGUAGUGGCAAGCCGAAAGGCGCAGCGAAAGCGAUGGCGAGCAGCAUGCGAGGCGCAUGGUAUGAAAAUGCCAAAGUCACUAUUAUACGACCCGAAGCCUCUACGAUCUACUCGUGGCUAGGGCGAAGGUAGACUAACGUCUGCUGGAGGCCCGCAACCAAUUAUGGCAUGUCCUACUGGGUGAGCUACGGGUAGCGGCGAUAUACCACUCGAGCGAGGCAAUAGCGGGUCCCUUCUGAAGUAUCUUUAGGAUAGCCUCAGGGGAGUUUGUAUAUGCGGUAGAGCUACCGAUUGGCAUGGGCGGGGUAGAAAUACCCCACAUGCUUGUCAAACUCCGAAUGCAUAUACUGCGUAGAUCCUGAGAGUCGGCGCAUUUGGGUAAGCUAGAUGUGCGAGACUACAAAGACAGUGACUAGGGUUAAGGUCCCCAAAUCCUAAUUAAGUGUAUCAAAGGGGGAAAAUUUCUUAGACAGCUGGGAGGUAGGCUCAGAAGCAGCCAUCCUUCAAAAAACGCGUAAUAGCGUACCAGUCGAGGGAUUUUUCUCCAAAAAUAUACGGGGCUAAAUUAGGUACCGAUACCUUAGAGUGCGUUAAGCACUGGUAAGAAGGCGUGUGGUGCAUCAAGAAGUUGGUUCGAAAGAACCAAUGGAAUGCAUCGCAGUGAAUAUCUUGGUAUUAGUAACAGCAUACAUGGGUGCGAAUCCCAUGCACCGAAAGCACACGGGUUUCUUCGCAACGCUUGUCAGCGGAGAGUUAGGCGAUCCUAAGAUGUAGGCUAAUUACCUAACAUCAAAAGGGAAGCUGGUUAAUAUUCCAGCCCGUAAUAUGUAAGCGCGGCAACGCAAGGUUGAUUUCUGACACUUGGGGAUAGUACCGAAAGAAAGUGCAAAGGGCUAUGGAGUCUCGUUAUGAGGAGAAGUAGCUAAAUGAACUGUUGGUAUGAGUUCCUGAGUCCGUGAAAAGGGAAUCAACAAUGAUCAUAUUACUCCGUACCUAGAACCAGUACAGGUGCUGCAGGCUGAAAAGGCCAAGGUGUGAUGGAAUAAUCAUCGUUAGGGAAUUCGGCAAGUUGGUGGUGUAAGUUCUCGAGAAACCAUGUCUGCGUAUGGUAUGCGCAGAUAGCAUUGACCAGGGGACAGCGACUGUUUAUCUAAAACACAACUCACCGCGAAGCUGGAAAGCUUUGUACAGUGGGUGACGCCUGCUCACCGCCAGUAAGUGAAAGCUCGUUUCAACGGGAAUAAGCUCUGGCAAAGAGCGGGGGUAACUCUGACCCUCUUGAGGUAGCGUAAUACCUCGUCACUUAAUUGGUGACUUGCAUGAAGGGCGUAACGUCUGUCCCAAUGUCCCAACGAUGAAUCCAGUGAACUUACUGCGCGGUGAAUAUGCCGCGAUCCUUCAGCGGGAAACGAAGUCUCUAUGAAGCUUUACUACAGCCUGUAGUUGUUGUGUGGUGAAUUAUGCAUAGCGUAAUUGGGAGCGUCGAAGUGCGUGCUGCGGCGCGCAUGGAGCGACAAUGUAACACCAAUCUUAAUUUACCACAUAGCUUACCUGAAAAGGGACAGCUGCAGGUGGGUAGUUAGACUGGACGGUUACUUUCGAUAAGGAAACGAAAGUGACCAACGCUCAGCUUAGGUAGGUUGGGAACCUAUCGGUAAGCAUAAAGGCAAAUGCUGGGCUGACUGUACGCCGAAAAGCGAAGCGUGCAGAUACGAAAGUAGGGCUUAAAGAACUUUGGUAGCUCUUUUAGUGGGGCUCCAAGCUGUAAGACAAGUUACUCUAGAGGUAAUCGAUUCGUCGCGGGUGAGAGUCCACAUCGACCUCGCGGUUUGAUACAUCGAUUUGGUCCCGGGUUAUCCUGGUGGUGCAUAAGCCGCCAAGGGUUGGACUGUCCGCCCAUUAAAAACCCACGCGAGAUGCGUUCAGUACGUCGCGAGACAGUACGGUAGGAUCUGCUGAAGGUGUUAGUGCCAGAGGGUAAGUUCCCCCUAAUACGACAGGAACAGGGGAACGGCGCCUCUAGUGUACCGGUUGUGUUCGCAUUGCCGGGUAGCCACGCGCCAUAAGGAUAAGUCCUGAAAGCAUCUAAGGACGAAGCCUUACCCGAAACGAGGCACUGGGUCGGCCGCAAUAGACGGCUUUGAUAGGAUGGGUGUAUAAGUGGAAAGCUUUUGCGAUCCACGAGCAUACCAUUACUAAAGACCAACUGGAUUGGU